AGCAGCCGCGGUAAUUCCAGCUCCAAUAGCGUAUAUUAAAGUUGUUGCAGUUAAAAAGCUCGUAGUUGAGUUUCGGGGUUAGUAGGUUGGUCAUGCCUCUGGUAUGUACUGGUCUCACUGAUUCCUCCUUCCUGAUGAGCCGUAAUGCCAUUAAUUUGGUGUUGCGGGGAAUUUGGACUGUUACUUUGAAAAAAUUAGAGUGUUUAAAGCAAGCUAACGCUUGAAUACAUUAGCAUGGAAUAAUGAAAUAGGACGUUUGAUUCUAUUUUGUUGGUUUCUAGGAUCGACGUAAUGAUUAAUAGGGAUAGUUGGGGGCAUUAGUAUUCAAUUGUCAGAGGUGAAAUUCUUGGAUUUAUUGAAGACUAACUACUGCGAAGGCAUUUUGCCAAGGAUGUUUUCAUUAAUCAAGAACGAAAGUUAGGGGAUCGAAGACGAUCAGAUACCGUCGUAGUCUUAACCAUAAACUAUGCCGACUAGGGAUCGGAUGAUGUUGAUUUUUUAAUGACUCAUUCGGCGCCUU
rnacentral:rRNA from 1 species